rnacentral:lncRNA from 1 species
AAUAAUUUUAUAAGUAUCCAUAAGUUGGUAUGAAAGUCUAAAAAAGGAGACUAUAGGAAGUAUGAGUUUACUAAAAGGAAAUAAUUUUGCAGAUGAUUCUGUUUGACAUCAUACUUACUGAUAUAUAAUCUCAUAUUGAAUUAAAAUAUAAAAGUUUUGAAACUUUUAUGAAAAGAAAAUAUUAAGAUAUAAAAUAUUUGAUAGUUAUCUUUCACUAAGAGUAGAUUUGGAGGCCUCUUACUUAAACAAAAACAAUCACCAAAUAGUGAAAUAAUAAAUAAAAUGGCAACUUGAUUAAGUAUAUAUAAUAUCUUAAUAAUUGAAUGGAAUAUUCUUUAAUAAAAGAAUGCAUAUUUGCACAUGGAGGGGAUAAUAAGAAUCAAAAGAAAUAAAAAUCAUCAUAGUGUUGUAAAAUUUAAGUAUAAUUUUAUGAGAAAAUUAUACAAACUAAUAAGUUUAGUACAACUUGUUAAAGUAAAAUCAUUAAAAAGUUCCUAAAUAUCUUAAAAGGACUAAAACGGCUUGGUUUAUUCAUUAAGUUUAGCCAAUUGUACUAGAAGGAUAAUUAUAUUAAGAAUGCAUAAAGUAUGGAAAUAAAAUGGUUUAAAUUUAUGAGUAUAGAGUUGUGGCUAUAACCAAUACCAAUUAUUUCUUAAAAUGACAAAAAUGGAACAAUAAUGUCUUUAGCAUAUAAAUGAUAUGCAAAUGAAAAGUUUAGACAUAUUAGCCUAUCAAGUGAUUCUCUAAAUGUUAGCCUAUGAAGUGAUUAUAUUAGAUAUCAACUCAACUAUGGAUAAUUAUCAUAAAUGAAAAUUAAAUUACAAGAUAUUUGAUUAGUAGUACUACAAGUAGAAGGAGUUUAAACCCUUAAUAUUAGACACUAAUAAUGGGAACCCAAUGUUAAAUUAGUAACUUCUAAUUACAAAGUUUCAUAGAUAAAAACAAGUUAUUAUUAUGUGCUUGUAAACACUAGUAAAACUCAUUCAAAUUUUAGAAACAAAUGUGGUUCAUUGCAUGGAAGAAUGAGAUUUUGUACUCUUAAUAGAGUUCAUUAUUUAAAUGACUAAAGCAAUGGAGACAUCAUGGAAACUUUACUUAUAUAAACAUAGAAGUGGUGCCACUUCAACAAGAAGAAUUAGGGUUUCUCUUGUAAAUGUUUAUGAUUGGAUAAGCAAUGGUCAUAAUAGUGCUAAAGUGGUUAUAAAACUCUUAUAGAAGAAAAAGUAAGUAUUAUGUGUUUUAUAUUUUCAAUUCUAAUACUAAGAGUUGAAGUUUAAUUUGCAAACACCAUUAAUUUCAUUAAAAUUUUAAGGUAUAACACUAAUUGAAGGCUUAUAUUGAGAUAUACUUUCUUGUAUUCACAAUAUUAUUUGUGUGAAAGUUUAAAGAUUAAGCACCAACAUUCAAAAUUAUUGGGGGAUUGUUAAUAGUUU